AAGUCGUAACAAGGUUUCCGUAGGUGAACCUGCGGAAGGAUCAUUACAUUCAGUAGCCUAGCUACUUGUUUGCACCCUUGUUUUUUGGCGCACUUCAUUGUAUCCUCGGCGGGCUUGCUCGCCGGUUGGACAAUACCUAUAACCUUUUUAAUCUUCAAUCAGCGUCUGAAUUAUAUAUAAUAAUUACAACUUUCAACAACGGAUCUCUUGGUUCUG
rnacentral:misc_RNA from 1 species